UUCGUAGGCGGUGUGGCAAGUCGGGAGUGAAAUCUAUGGGCUUAACUCAUAGGCUGCUUCCGAAACUGCUGUGCUGGAGUGUGGGAGAGGCGCGUGGAAUUGCAGGUGUAGCGGUGAAAUGCGUAGAUAUCUGCAGGAACACCCGUGGCGAAAGCGGCGCGCUGGACCACAACUGACGCUGAGGAACGAAAGCUAGGGGAGCAAACAGGAUUAGAUACCCUGGUAGUCCUAGCCCUAAACGAUCAGGACUUGGGGUGCCGCCCGUUCGGGCGUCGUCCCGGAGCUAACGCGUUAAGUCCUGCACCUGGGAGUACGGUCGCAAGACUGAA
rnacentral:rRNA from 1 species